rnacentral:lncRNA from 10 species
GUUGGAAGCUGUACGCAGGUUUGCCUGAUGCAGAAGCCUAUAUUCCUUCCACUCCAUGAUGCUGAAACAGGUUUUCAUUCUUCCCUUUCUCCCAGGAACACCAGCCCCAUCUUUUCACCAUGGAGCUUCCAGAGCUGACUUUGAAGUAUAAAGAGAAAGACCGGAUGUUGGGCCACAGUAGAGGGCUUCCACCAAAGGAGGGGUCUGGGGGCAAAGCAGGCAAAGAGGCAAGCUCCAGGCAGGGGCUGCCAGCAAGCAGGCUUCUCUCGAUGGGUACAACAGUGCUGUAAAGCUGACAAACAGAGUUUGGCUUCACUUGAAGGUGUGAAAAGAACAGCCUGACUCUGAGAGGCAAGUCCGCCAAGCCCAGGACCCUAGGGCACCUGGUUCUCACCAUUGCCUGCAAUGCCGCAGCCACUUCCCAAGUCAGGAGGGCAGCUGAAGUCCUGCACUGGGGACAGUUGGGUCAGCUGUGUCUGUUAGACAUCCCCCGAUGACACAGAAUGCCUCUCUCCUCUGAGAGCAGGACAGUGUGUUUAGACAGUCCCUGGUAAAUGUGAGCAGCCAUGAGAAAGGCAGCCUUAAGUGGCUCAAAUUAACCUCUUCUAUGGAUACAGAGUUGAGCUCCAUCAUUCACUCCCCACGAGAGAAAGAUUGCUGUGGCCUUAAGCAGUGGAAGCAGAACUGUUAUUAUUAUUUUUAAGUUGAUGCAAAAAAGGACUUCUUUCUCCACUUUGAAUAUGUUGUCAUCUUGGGUGAGGCAAGAGGACCAUGUAAGGUGGUGACAAGCACUGUUGGCUUUUUUGGGAGAGCAUUGGCUGACUCCAUCCACUACUCUGGGGUGACAAGACGGGAAAAACCACGGUUUACCAGGCAGGUGUUGGGAUUAAGAUACACUUUCAUUUUCAAAGCACUUUGCAGUCAUUAACUAAGUGCUCACCCCUAAUUCUCUUCUAGGUUGAGCUUGGCCAUGGUCUCCCCAUGCUGUCUCCCUUGCCUCUUCUCUGAGUCUCAAGGAACAUGCUGUCACUGGCAGAUAUAAGAACAUCUUGUGCUUUAUAUAUAUUUUUAAACCUUACUGGGUUGCUUGUCUAACUCACCCCUCCAGUAGCUUAGUGAGAUUAAUGCCUCUUUCUAAACUGUGAUAACCAAGAGAUACUUUCCAGCAAAUGCGAAUGGGGCUUUAAAGUGCUGCGAGGCAGGAUGACAAGAUCUUGGGUGAGUUUCAGGUAUUACAAAGAACAUUUUGAUUUCCUUUUCAGAGGAAAUGUAGAAGGGCUUUAUCAGCGUAGGUAACACUAUAGAGCUGAGUGAAAUGUAAAUGAAAUUCCCAGUUUUCAUUUUCCCGCUUCAUUUGAUAUUUGUGGGUUUUAGAAGUAGGACCAGCUGGAUUCAUCUGCAGAAAAAGCCAUGUGGCUGCGGAGCUCCUUCCGUUGUUAAGAAGUGUGCCUUUGGGCUAAGGGGAAAUGUUCUGAAGGCAGAUCUGGAUGUGAAUUUUGGUUCAGAUAUUUAUUAACCGUGGGACCCUAGGCAAGCUGGUUUCUGAGCUUUGAUUUCCUCAUCUGUAAAAGGAGGAUAAUAAUGGAUACCUCAAAGAGUUAUAAAGAUCAGAAGUAAAAUACAUGCAAAGAAGUAGAGAGGGCUGUUUCAAGUCGCUUACUUUUAUUUUAACAUACAGCUGGUGGGCCAGGAGAGAGUGAAAACAAAGCCACUGGAUAGUGAGAGGAUAGAGGGUGCUCCACAGACGCGAACUGCAUCUUUAUGUUUACAUAGAAGGGAGAGUGAAGGAGCAAAUGUGGGCAACAGCUGUCAGUGACACAUCAUUACCCCAACAGCCAGAAACAAGAUAAGCGCCUUGCAGGGGCCCUUAACUGACUGCUGGGUUCGAUGGUUCAAAGAGAAAAAGCACGUGAUAACUUUGAAGGAGGCUGCCUGGCUGAGCUGAUCGGAUCACCUAGAGACUGGAAAUGCUUUCUGGUCUGAAGUCACCUGCCCUAUCUGGACAUUCCAUAGACUACCACUUUUACCCACGACUUCGAUGUGGCAUGCUCAUUGGACCAGAUAAGCAAGCAGUGGCAAGUGGAUUGGAGGUCUUGGUAACCAGUUCAACCAAAAUCCUGGGACAGCUGUUCCCUGAUGCGGCACACUUCCUAGAAGAAGCAAGUGAAUUUAAAGCAGAGUGAACUGUAGAGGAGUUCACGACCAAAUCUCUGAUGCUUUCCCCAGAUCUUUCUUCAGGGCCAACACAUCCAUUGCUCAGCUGUGAUAGACAGCAGUCAGGGGUGGCUCACCUCUCUCACUGGGAAUUGCUCUCAGCAGUAGGGAACUCAUUCAGGGUUAAGGCAUCUCCUUGAGGAGGCCCAUGUUCAAUUACUGGUUGACACAGGAAUAUGAAGGCCUGGCCCUCGUCUCAGCUUGGAAUAAAUCUGAAGGCCCAUCACAGCUUCAGAGAUGCUUGGAGAAGGCUGAGGUCUCCCCUGUAACCUUAUGAGAACCUUGAGUUGUUGAACUCAUUAAUUCUUUGGGACCAUCUUCCUGAUGUUCAAGUUUGUGAAACAGGCUUUCCCUUUAAGAUUUGUUUUCCUCAAAAUACAAGACUAUUGAUGCUUCAGUUUUGAAGUGGAUUCUGCACUCAAGAAAUGUACCAUUGAAGAAUGGGACUGGUAGGAAGGGAAAAAAACUAAAAGGAAACGCAUUUUCGAGUUGCACAUCAUGAUCAGGCACAGAGUCCAGAUACACUUGGAGUAGCAAGCAUCCAUCCUUGUGGAGACGCACAUGAACCAGGACUCUCUGCACCCACCCCUCUCAAGUUUUAUUUUCCGACGGCUGUAAUGUUCCAGGACACCUGCCAUCAUGGAGGGUUAUCCAGCACCUGGAGGAUACCUGCUACCUGGUGAAGGACUUUAGUACGAUGGUCAAGACAAGAACCGUGGAGUCAGAAUGCCUGCAUGCAGAUCUCAUCACCAUGGGAAUCAUUGAGGGUUUACUGAACGAGUGCUAUUGUAAACAGAGUCAGUGUCAACACCAGAAAGUGCUUCCUGAUCUGGCAGUUUAAUUGCUCUCCUGAUUUCCAUGCUUUUCACUCUUUAUGAAAUGUGACGUUUUCUCUACAUCUUGUACAAAUACAG